rnacentral:lncRNA from 1 species
AUUUUUCCGUCUCUUCCAAUUUCUUUCAUUCCUUACUGGUCAUACUGUGUCAUCUUCAUGGCCUCUACCAGUUCUUUGACUGGUUUCCACUUAAGCUGAGCGGUGAUUUGUUAUUUCACCAAAGUACAGUAAAAUCAUGAAAUUAAACCUGUACAACUUUCUCUUAUUCCUCCUUUUCAUUAAUUCUGUUUUUUCUUGGAAAAAAGAUGAGUUCAGAAACUGCAAUCAGACCCCAUUCUGCAAACGUGCCCGAUCCCGUAAACCCGGUGCGUGCUCUCUAAUCGCCACCGAUGUCUCGAUUUUCGAUGGCGAUCUUAUAGCGAAGCUCGUCCCCAAUGAUAAGGUCCAAGAAAAUAUACAUAAUCAAGAAAAUCCCAUUGUUAAGCCUUUGGUUCUGACAAUUUCUGCUUAUCAAGAUGGUGUUUUGAGGCUCAAGAUUGAUGAGGACCAGAGUUUGAGCCCGCGCAAGAAGAGAUUUCAGGUGCCUGAUGUGAUUGUGCCAGAGUUUUUGAACAAAAAGCUGUGGUUACAGAAGUUAAAAACUGAGAAAAGUGAAGAUGGGUUGGGCAUCUUGUCCGUUGUUUAUCUUUCUGAUGGAUAUGAGGGUGUAAUUCGGCAUGACCCUUUUGAGGUUUUUGCGAGAGAAACUGGGAAAAAUGGGAAAAGAGUAUUGUCUUUGAACUCAAAUGGUUUGUUUGAUUUUGAACAGCUGAGGGAGAAAAAAGGAGAACAUGAGAAUUGGGAGGAGAGGUUUAGGAGCCACACCGAUACACGUCCUUAUGGACCACAGAGUAUUAGCUUUGACGUAUCAUUUUAUGAUGCUGAUAAAUCUGUGACCUAUAACAUUUUUGGAUUUGUGACCCAAAAAUAUUCUGUGACCUAUAAAUUCUUUGAUUUGUGACCGAAAAAUAACUUUUGACCAAUAAUAUGAUAAAUCGUGAUUAAAAAUUAAUCCGUAACUAAUUAAUUUUUUAAUUUGUGACCAACGAAAAAACUGUGACUUACAAAAUUUUUGAAUUGUGAACGUAAAAAAAUUUGUAACAUAAAAUUUUUGAUUUGUGACCAAAAAAUAAUAAAUAACUAUUUAUAUUGUUAAUUUGUGACCAAAUUGUAUAGAUCCGAGACCUAAAUAUAUUUAAUUAAUAAAAUAAUUAAUUAACUGAUUAAAUUAUAAAUAAUUUUUAAUAAAAAUCUGAUUUUAGAAAUUUGAAACUUGUUUUCUUGUUUUUGAAAUGUGCCAUAAUUAAUUUCUUAGUUAUGAAAUUUUCCCAAAAGAAAAUAUAGCAAAACCACUCAGCCUUAGCCCAGUAGACAGUGCAUAUGCAUGCUGGGGGAGAGGCUUAUCGAAGUUAUUAACAAAAUCCGUGUCUGAUAAUAAGGAAUAUAUAAUUAAGGAAGCAUACAUCGUAUAGGUUUCCUAGGCUUGUGGACUAAGCUGUAGUAAACUCGCUAAAUUUGAUUAUACAGUAACUGGAUCAUCUUUUUCCAAGUAAUGAUUCAAGCAUAGCAGCCUCUUCUUCCUGGAAAUAUGGCAAUUGAUAUGAGGAGAAUAUGUAAACUAUUAAUCUCUGUUCAGCAAGUGAAGUUGGUUUCAUACGUACCACUAAGGCAUUAAAUUCAGUCUCCUCGUCAAUGGCACUGAUUACCGAUGGAUCCUCCAAAAGUUCCUGUUUCAGGAGAGUUUAAAGACUGAAACUUCCAAUUUACAUAUCUAAUGAAAAAACAAAGCGGCAACUCAAGCUACAGAGUACAGAUUGAUCUCUACCAAAAGGAUUGCAGUGUGCAAUUGAGAAUUGCCCACAUGAAGUCACGGGAAUAUACACUUGAGUACUUGAUUAUAAUGACAAAAGGCAGAUAUACCAGUACCCUAAUGCUACAGAACCAAAAUUGUCAAUAUAGCUCCUACCGGUGGCAGUGGAAAUAAUAGAUCAUGUUUCGUUUUUACUUGACUUAUUGCUGCAAAGCUUCUAAUAAGAGGCUUUAAUCAGUAACAUGCAAAUACAACUUUUCUUGUGACUGAAGAACCGGAAAGUAUGUUAGAGAAUUGGAGAUUGCGGCCACAAGGUUGAGUUGUUGAUCAAGCUCGAGAUUAAGAAUAAUGGAUUUACAAGGAUACAUGUAACUCAUUUUAUAGUUUUAUCAUUGAUAUUUCAAGUAAAUCAAUCUCAAAUCUCUGUCAUCUAUUUAUUUUUUUGGGCAAUUAGUAGGAUUGAGAAGGUAAAAUUAACAUAUCAUUGAAUUGAAAGCAACGGCCUUGUUCUCGAGAUUAUGGACAGUACAAAACUACAAAGUUGUUAAAACUCUAUAAUGAAUUUUUUUAAGUUAAUGAGAAAAUACUCGUAAUGAAUUACAAUGCUAUAUAGUAGCAUCCAUGAUACUAAGCUUCGUGCAGGAAGGGGAGAUUUAUGUCCUCUAUUGAACCAUAUUAAGUGCUUUGUAGCAUUAUUUAAAUAUCGAAACAAAGGGAAGAAAAGGAAAGAUUAAAAUAUGUGCUGAGAGUCAAUUGCUUACAUCAUCGGCUAUUUGAAGUGUACCAUUUUCAUCCUGCAAAAGCAUAAAAUGGACUUUAUUACAAAAUAGCCUUGUGGAUUUCAAAACAAAAAAGAAAUUAGUUCAAGGUGUUAUGAAAAAAAUAUAUAUAUAUAUUAUUAUCAGGGGAUAUUACAUAAUACUAGAGAGAGAUCUUUGAACUAAAUGAGGAAAUUUUACGAAUGAUCAUUAAUCCUUUACCUUCACAGCAACAAAUAGAAGAGGGUCAGAAGGUGUAUAAAUUAUGUAGUGGGAACCAUCCUGCAUGGUAAAAAUAUCAAGAUAAGAAGAAACCAUUUGCAGAAAGGAAAAUACACAUAUACUCUCUUGUCUAUAAGUCGGAGCACCUUAGAAUGGUUCACUCAGUUCCUUCGACCUCUCAACAAACCACAGUAAACUACUCACUGCUUGCUCAGUAGUCAUUCUUUUAAAUUCAAAUUAGUUUCCUCAUUAUUUUUCACCUAUAACAUUAACCUCAUAUGAGGCUAUUCUGACUCACUUUCCCAUUUAACAUGAUCGGUCAACAAAAAACGAUAAACAACACCAUUUCAAUUUUUUUGGAGAUGCCAUACCAGAUGGAAACAUGCAAUUUCAAUGCCUUCAGUUGGCAAGCCAUCAAUGUUUUCACCAUUAUCUGCAGGACAAUGAAGUGCUCGUCAAAACGUAAAAAAAUUUAGCCGGAACUUGGAAAGAGUAUUCACAGAAACAAUACCAAUUGGCCCAUGGCAGUAAUGGCAUAGCUAAUUCUUUAUGAUAUUUAACCAGGGAAGACGCUAGUGGAAGUUUAAGGCUUGAUUUUGGGAAAUUCCAUGUAACCCUGUGCAAAUUGUAAGUUAUUCGACACAUCACGGCAGCAUGUGAUGAUAACCAUGUCAUCGUGUUUGUUUAGAGGCUGGCAAUUGGCUGAUAUGCCAAUGCCAUCAAAAUGCUAAUAGAUGAUAUCUGUGGAACAAUCAUGUUGUCAAUCUGGCAUGCAAACAGUUUCAUUGAGAAAUUGACAAAUUACGGAUACUUGUAAAGCAACUCGCUACUCUGGCAUGCAAACAGUUCCAUCGCCAAUUUGUGCAGUUACCAAAUUUGAUCUAUUCAAGCUGAACGAGCAUAUUAUGCGGGAAGUGUCAAAUCAAUUUAUUCACACAAGACGUGGCUUAAAACCUUCUAAUUUGAAUAGCCAUUAUAUAUUAUUCUGAUCAAGGUUUUGAAAUCAAACCAGUGCUCAGCUACUUAACUGAUUUUUAGCUUCCUGUGGACCAGACAGUGGCAGCAACACUAAAUUCGUAGGGGAAUACAAAAAGUGGAUAAAUGACUCUCAUCAGGGUACAAGCUUUAAAGAGUUGAAACAAAAUGUUACCAGUGUGGAAGUCAAAUAUGUCAUCCUCAGUAUAGCAAAAACCACCUCGUGCUGUAUAACAAAAUCUGAUGACAAAGAAAAAAGAAGUUACUCGACAUCAGAUGUAUUAGAAUGCUAUAUGUUAUGAGUCACAGAAAGUAAAGUUAACAGUGACGACUGACAACCCCCCAAAAAUAAGUGAGAGUUAUCAUACCCACUGUACACCAGAUGCAUAUGUAUUUUGGCCAGGGCAUAGGCUGCAGUUGGGAGAAUAGCCUCAACUUCUUCAUCACUGACCUACAAAGCAGAUGAGCAUCAAAAUAAAUAAGUCAAAUUACUUAAAAAAUGGUUAGUGCGGAUGAAACUAAGGAGAGGGAGAGAUUUUAAGACUCUAUAAGUCAGGAAAUUGAUCUUUGAGAAUGAAAGCACAAGAAGCCCACAAAAAAGAUGAAAAUUGAUCUCUUUUGUAUGUUUCUCUGAUUCGCAUAAAUAAUCACAAAUCAUGGACUUCUUUCCAGAAGUGAUUCACAAAGAAAAUAACUCCAACAAUACGCAGUGCCUCACUUGAGCCAAUCAAUUUCUCCAUCCCUCUUAUUUGCAUGGACAGACUUAAAAAUUCACCACCUUAUAUUAGUUAUGAUUUAUAUUUUCAAACUUUUAUUGGUGGUUUUCAUUAAGUCUUGUAAUGGAAGCAAUACUUCCAAUUUUAGUGCUUUUAUAAUUGCUUCUUUCUCUCUUCUUGAUGUAAUAUCUGGAGGUAAAGGUAAGGUCCAUGUCCCCCUCCAUGUGUAUUUGUGAAUUCAUUUAUAAAACAGGGCCGGGGAAUCCAAAACCCCAUUGGGUUUAGGUGGAGGAGUAAAAAUUCCACUUACACUUUGACGCUGUUUUGGGGGAAAAAAAAAAAAAAGAGAGAGAGAGACCAAAAACGCAAAAACAACAUUAAAGAAGAAUUCAGAAAAGCACACACAGUCAGCUGAGCUAAUAAUCUUGCAUUCACAAAAAAGAGUGAGCAGUCUCAAAGCUACCACCUAUCUUAAAGACAUACACACCUCACCAACACUCAUAAUAUCAUAACAUAUUCCAGCUCAUAGACUUGAGUAUGCCAGAAUGUUUGAGAGCUUCAAUUAGAGAAGAAUAUGCAUUACAAUACUGAUCUUUGCCAAGUGUCCACUAUACAAUAAUUUGUUCAUCACCUCAACUCAACUAAACUUCACUUAUCUAGACCGUAAUCUAUCAAGGGUCAUCUUCAAAAGAUUGACCUAUGACAUGAAACUAAAAAAGAUACUCCAUCUUUGUUAUUCAUGUUCUGCCCCAAAUUAGAAAUGAACAACAUCACUCUCAAUGACAAAGAAGUAUGUCCAAAAGCACUAAAACAUUGCAUAAGACUAAUAUAAAUAAACUACAUGAACCUGUAACGUGGCUUGUUGAAAUACCAAAAUAAAGAUUUCAGCUAGUAACCCCCAAACAUCACGUGCAAGGGGGCCUCUUGAGUGAUGUUUCUGGAUUCUACUGGCCAGGUACACUCAAAGCAUAUAUUCAAAUGAAAAUGCAAAUAGGAAAGGGACCGAGCUUCUCUCAAGCAUAUCAUAGCUAUGAUCUAAAAAAUUACAAAUUCUACAGUAAUGAACGUUUGUUAAGACGAGUACACGUCUGAAGAAUACAGUCACAAACACUCUUUGCCUUUUGGAGAAAACGUAAAUUGUGAUUAGCGCCACGGCUAUUAGAUAAUGAAUCAAAGCGAGGUAAAUUAUCAGACUUACAGCAGACCAUCCUUCUACAUUGACACUCUUCAAAAUCUGAACAGGCCUGCAAUCAAUUGUAUUUGUUAGACAAACAUUUACCAAAGACUAACAGAUAUUUGUAACCACAGCCCUGAAACCUCGCUUACGUAUCAACGGGGCAGAGUAGCAUACAUUCAUCUCCUCGUGAAUUUCUAAACACCCUCCUAAUGACGCACUCCAAUGGGAAGUUAUUUGUAGUAUCAACCUGUCAGUGACUUGUUUAGGAUGAAUAAUAUAUGAACUGAACUGCAUCUAUAACAUACAAACAAGAGAGGAAAAAGGAAAGAAAAUCAUUAAAACCGUACAAUUGUGGCAAUACGUUUGUUAGACGCCAUGAGGACUCUCCCUUGGUCGUCCAACACAAACCCAGCCGGAGGUUUAGGCAGAGGAAGCUGCUGAUAAGGUGGCUGCUGAGACUCUGACUGCCGCACCUCCACUCCACUACUUCGGUCAAUUUCAAAAUCAUCUUCUACUAUAUUCUUCCCUUUUCCACUGGGUUUCUUCUUCUUCUUCGUAGCUGGCGGUCCAGUACCGCGCUGCUGCUUUGCUGAUGCGUAGCAACGCAACAACCCACGUCCAGCGCUUGUGUUUAUACCGCUGUAUUUAAAUUGGGGAUAAUGAACGAAAGACGGUGGGAUUUUUGGAGAAAUUUUAACAAUAUUGGAAGGGAUUGUUGAACAAGAUGAAUAUGUGGGCAUCGAGAAACCCAUUUGCUGUUUGCUGAUUGUUGAAAUGGAGGUGAAAAUCGGAUACGUCUUAGUAUCAGAGCUCCUUAGGUGUACAUUAUCAAGAUUUUCAUAUUUUCUUCUAUUAUUUUACCGUAUAUUUCGUUUUUCAUUUUUUGAAUUAUUAGAAUUGUGAGAAAUCCUUGUUUGAGUAUUCUUUUCGGAGGAAAAAUAAAUUUUGUAAUAUUGAAUUGUUUAGAGAAAUUAUGGCUAAAAAUUUGAAAAAAAAAUAAAUUGUGAAUUUAUGUGCGAAGUUAUAUCAUUGAAAAAUAUGUGAUUGAAAAUGAGUUCAGAGAUAAUUAAAAUUUUGAAAAAUGGUUCAAGCAAGGGCAAAAUGUGCAAAAUCUUUUAGGCUUGGAACUCAUACUUGGAAGAAUCAAGAAAUUUACUUGUACAAUGAUUGUUGACAAUUUAUGUAUUGUCAAGAUCUGUUUCAUUGAUUUAAAAAAUAAAUUUUAAAAUUGAUGGUAUAAAUUUUUUCAACUCAUGAUUUAAUCGUCAAUAAUUUUGAGGGGUAGUUUUGUGGUCAAGUUUUGGGCUUGUUUCCUAAUGAUCACUAGUUCGAAUCCCCUUAAGGUCAAUGAGAUGAGCACUCGACUGUAAAUUUCAAGAUUUCGUAGGAUUAGUUGAAGUACGCGUAGUUGAUUCGGACACUCACGAUUAUAAAAAAAAAAAAAGAUUUAAUCGUCAAUAGAAGUUAUCAACUAUUGUUGUACUUGUAACAUGAUUCUUUUUAAGUAUGGCCUACAAAUGUCACAUCUUGAGGAACAUACAAAUUCGAUUUCCUAGUUACCCUUUCACUUAAUCGAGGAAGAAAUUAAAAUGUAGAAUGAAAUUGAAUUCGAUUUGUUUUAUUUUUACGGUUUGAUACUAUUUAUUAUCUUGCAUGUUAGGUGGACGGUGAAAGAUUACCAAUUAGUUAUAAUUAUAUUUGAUGAUCAUGUAGGCAUUGCGCAUCAAUUUGUCAAUUGUCAUGAUAGACGAGGGGUAAAAUAUGAAGCAAAAUGAGUGAUUAUAUUGUGAUAAAAUUGAAGAUGUGGGAUUUCAAUGGAUUCGAAUUAAAGUCGAGUGGUCAAAAUUGUAAUACGAUAAAUAAAGUGUUCAAAUGCAAAAUGGGCGAAUCAGGAGGGCGAAGUCUUAAAUUUGAGAAAAGUGCAAAAGGCCUAAAAAUAUCCGAAGGCUAUAUUUAAGAAAUUGGAAUUAAGGUCUAUAUUCAAUAUUAUCCAUAAAAUGAGGGCCCAAAUUACUAUUUUUCCGUCUCUUCCAAUUUCUUUCAUUCCUUACUGGUCAUACUGUGUCAUCUUCAUGGCCUCUACCAGUUCUUUGACUGGUUUCCACUUAAGCUGAGCGGUGAUUUGUUAUUUCACCAAAGUACAGUAAAAUCAUGAAAUUAAACCUGUACAACUUUCUCUUAUUCCUCCUUUUCAUUAAUUCUGUUUUUUCUUGGAAAAAAGAUGAGUUCAGAAACUGCAAUCAGACCCCAUUCUGCAAACGUGCCCGAUCCCGUAAACCCGGUGCGUGCUCUCUAAUCGCCACCGAUGUCUC